AUUGAACGCUGGCGGCAUGCCUUACACAUGCAAGUCGAACGGCAGCGGACCUUCGGGUGCCGGCGAGUGGCGAACGGGUGAGUAAUGCAUCGGAACGUGCCAUUGAGUGGGGGGAUAACGUAGCGAAAGUUGCGCUAAUACCGCAUAUUCUGUGAGCAGGAAAGCAGGGGACCGCAAGGCCUUGCGCUCUUUGAGCGGCCGAUGUCAGAUUAGCUAGUUGGUGAGGUAACGGCUUACCAAGGCGACGAUCUGUAGCGGGUCUGAGAGGAUGAUCCGCCACACUGGAACUGAGACACGGUCCAGACUCCUACGGGAGGCAGCAGUGGGGAAUAC
rnacentral:rRNA from 1 species